rnacentral:rRNA from 1 species
UCUGAAUCUGCGAACGGCUCCGCAAACCAGUUGUAAACUACAGCAAGCAAGCACGGGGGGUUGGCCUUCACGGGUCGGUCCCUCGGGCGAUAUGGAUAACCCUGGUAAUUCUGAGGCUAAUACAAGAACGUAACCCCUGGCUGACUGAGCCCUCGCCCUCGGGUGGGGAUACUUGGGAGGCUGGGAAGCGUGCGAGUACUAAUGCGAAUGAGAACCGGGAAUGGGCGCACGCUUGGACCGCGCUACAAAGGAUCAUUACUCGGCAAUCCCUCCGGGGUGCGCUUUGUUUUGGCCCUAGCGCUCUUGCGGUGUGCUUCUGACCUAUCAACUAGACGGCAGCGUAACGGACAUGCUAUGGU